AGGGGAUUCCUCGCCGUUGCUCAGCCCGCCGCGCCAAGGCUGCCUUCCCCUGCUUUCCCUUGGCCGCGCCGCCGGAACUUCGUGGGAAGGCAGUCCCCGCGCUCGUGGUGCGAGCAUCUCUCCAGUCGCGCGUCGGUGGCUGGGAUACAGCCCGGGUACCCAGCGUGCGCCUGUUGUCACUGCCGAGCCCAACUCCGAACGCCCCGCUCCUGUACCCGCCGUUUCUGAUUGGCCGGCCGGAGGCGGAGCGAUUGUCAGGCCGCCCAAUCGGUGCUCGGUUUCCCACGGGCUCCCGCUGCCCCGCCCCCGGGGCCGCAGGCGGAGGCACCCUGACAGCUCCCAUUGGCAGACAGCGAACGGUCCGGUGCACAGCCGGGCGGAGCAGCGCCGCCGCCGUCGGGCGCGCAGCUCUGCAGCGCAGCGAACGCUUUGGCGCCCGCAGCCCCGGGAGCCCAGCGGCCCCGCAUUGUCCCUGGCCCUGUGACUGAGAUCCGGGAUGAGCGUCGCGGAUUGAUGGCUGUUUUCCAAAUGUUGACAUUAUCAGAAGCCUGACCUCCACGUGGAAAAGAAGGGCCUGUUUUAAGAGGCCUCACCAAACAGCUGGCUGCAAAGGGCUGCUCUUUGAGACCAGGUUGUCUGCAGAGUCCCGAGCUGUCGGGGUUGGCCGGCUGCCUUUCUUCUCUGGCGGUGUGUGUGUGUUCUCCGUGUUUCCAGGGUGAAGCGCCCACGAGCAGGUCACUGGACUGAGUUCAUUGCUUUCCUUGCUGUGAAGAGCUGCCAUGGAGAUGCCCCGAAGGGCUGCAGGCCUCACCUUUCAUCCACACCCCCUCCCGCACCAGGGCUGCUGCUGGGCUCCUGCCUGGAGCUGCUGGGGUCAGUGGGUGGGACACCCCUGGGUGUUCUUAAAUCCACUGGUAGCUGGUGCCUAAACUCCAACUCAGGAUGGCGGCUGUGUGGUCCAUGUCUGGAUGCUGCAGAGCCUUUUCCAGAAUGAGCCGCCCCUGCUCUUGUCUUGACCUCCCCACCAUCUGUCUUCAAAUAGUAGCCCGAGGGCACCUUUUAGGUCAGACAGUGUUGCUGUGCUCAAAACCUUCCUGUGCUUUUUUUUCCUAAGUGUUUCGUGAAAAAUAUUUCUUUCUUUCUUUCUUUUUUCCUAGCUAACAACAUAGUUGUUUUUUUUUAUCUUACUUUAUUUUUAUUUUUUUAAAUUACUCAAUGAAUUUAUUACAUUUAUAGUUGUACAAUGAUCAACACAAUCCAAUUUUAUAGGAUUUCCAUCCCACAACCCUAGCACAUCCCCCCACCCCCCCGAACUGUCUCCUUUGGAAACCAUACGUUUUUCAAAGUCUGUGAGUCAGUAUCUGUUCUGCAAAGAAGUUCAUUCUGUCCUUUUUCCAGAUUCCACAUGUCAGUGAGAGCAUUUGAUGUUGGUGUCUCACUGUUUGGCUGACUUCACUUAGCAUGAUAAUUUCUUGGUCCAUCCAUGCUGCUGCAAAUGCCGUUAUUGUGUUCCUUUUAAUGGCCGAGUAAUAUUCCAUUGUGUAUAUGUACCACCUCUUCUGGAUCCACUCCUCUGUUGAUGGACAUUUAGGUUGUUUCCAUGUCUUGGCUAUUGCAUAGAGUGCUGCAAUGAACAUCGGAGUACAUGUGUCUUUGUGAGUCAUGGUUUUCUCUGGAUAGAUGCCCAGGAAUGGGAUUGCUGGAUCAAAUGGUAGUUCUAUUUUCAGUUUUCUGAGGCAUCUCCAUACUGUUUUCCCCAGUGGCUGCCCCAAUUUACAUUCCCACCAACAGUGUAAUAGGGUCCCCUUUUCUCCACAUCCUCUCCAGCAUUUAUUGUUUGUAGACAUUUAGAUGAUGGCCAUUCUGGCUGGUGUAAGGUGGUACCUCUUCAUGGCUUUGAUUUGCAUUUCUCUAAUAAUGAGUGAUGUUGAACAUCUUUUCAUGUGUUUUUUGGCCACCUGUAUAUCUUCUUUGGAGAAUUGUCUGUUUAGAUCUUCUGCCCAUUUUUUGAUGGGGAACAAUAUUUCUUUAAUGGAGUUAUGGUUCAGAAAUUUCCACGUGAUUAAUAUCACAUUUAAAUAUAAGUAGCUUGAUGAAAUGAUGUAUAGCAUGAAGAGGCGAAGACUUAUAUUCUAAAGGUUUGAAUCCCUCGAUUUAAGGUCUAGAGCUGCCAUUUAGAAUGAGAGCUUGUGAAUUUAAAGAUGUCAUUUGGCAUCUCGGAGUUUUCUUAUCUGUUAAAAUUGGCAGAUGUGAUAUAAUUCUGAUUUCUUCAAAACCGUGUUGGUGUAAGGAUCAAAUGAGCUGAUAGGCUUUUUUUUUUUUUUUUUCCUUUCUCUGUAUCGUAUUAUCUUCCAUCAAAAAGUUUUAUAGGUGGCUCAGCAUUAACAAGCCCAACUAGGAUCCAUGAGGACGUGGGUUUGAUUCCUGGCCUCACUCAGCGGGUUAAGGAUCCCGCAUUGCUGUGAGCUAUGAUGUAGGUUGCAGAUGCAGCUCGGAUCCUGUGUUGCUGUGGCGGUGGUGUAGGCUGACAGCUGUAGCUCCGAUCCAACCCCUAGCCUGGGAACCUCCGUAUGCCU
rnacentral:lncRNA from 1 species